rnacentral:rRNA from 1 species
GAUGAACGCUGGCGGCGUGCCUAAUACAUGCAAGUCGAGCGAACAGAUGAGGAGCUUGCUCCUCUGACGUUAGCGGCGGACGGGUGAGUAACACGUGGAUAACCUACCUAUAAGACUGGGAUAACUUCGGGAAACCGGCGCUAAUACCGGAUAAUAUAUUGAACCGCAUGGUUCAAUAGUGAAAGACGGUUUUGCUGUCACUUAUAGAUGGAUCCGCGCCGCAUUAGCUAGUUGUUAAGGUAACGGCUUACCAAGGCAACGAUGCGUAGCCGACCUGAGAGGGGGAUCGCCCACCUUGGAGCGGAGACACGGUCAAGACGCCUACGGGAGGCAGCAGUAGGGAAUCUGCCGCAAUGGGCGAAAGCCUGACGGAGCAACGCCGCGUGAGUGAUGAAGGUCUUCGGAUCGUAAAACUCUGUUAUUAGGGAAGAACAAAUGUGUAAGUAACUAUGCACGUCUUGACGGUACCUAAUCAGAAAGCCACGGCUAACUACGUG